GUGGGGAAUCUUGCGCAAUGGGCGAAAGCCUGACGCAGCCAUGCCGCGUGAAUGAUGAAGGUCUUAGGAUUGUAAAAUUCUUUCACCGGGGACGAUAAUGACGGUACCCGGAGAAGAAGCCCCGGCUAACUUCGUGCCAGCAGCCGCGGUAAUACGAAGGGGGCUAGCGUUGCUCGGAAUUACUGGGCGUAAAGGGCGCGUAGGCGGACAGUUUAGUCAGAGGUGAAAGCCCAGGGCUCAACCUUGGAAUUGCCUUUGAUACUGGCUGUCUUGAGUACGGGAGAGGUGAGUGGAACUCCGAGUGUAGAGGUGAAAUUCGUAGAUAUUCGGAAGAACACCAGUGGCGAAGGCGACUCACUGGCCCGUUACUGACGCUGAGGCGCGAAAGCGUGGGGAGCAAAAGGGAUUAGAUACCCCAGUAGUCC
rnacentral:rRNA from 1 species